rfam:Ciona savignyi cont_42694, whole genome shotgun sequence.
UACCUGGUUGAUCCUGCCAGUAGUCAUAUGCUUGUCUCAAAGAUUAAGCCAUGCAAGUCUAAGUACGAGCUCUCGUACAGUGAAACUGCGAAUGGCUCAUUAAAUCAGUUAUGGUUCAUUUGAUCGUACAGUUUACUUGGAUAACUGUGGUAAUUCUAGAGCUAAUACAUGCGAGAAGCGCCGACCUCGCGGGAGGCGUGCAUUUAUCAGACCAAAAACCGGCCGCGUCUUCGGGCGCGUUCGCCUUGGUGACUCUGGAUAACUUUGCGGAUCGCACGGUCUAGCACCGGCGACGGAUCAUUGAAGUGUCUGCCCUAUCAACUUUCGUCGGUACGGUAUUUGCCUACCGAGGUUCUUACGGGUGACGGGGAAUCAGGGUUCGAUUCCGGAGAGGGAGCCUGAGAAACGGCUACCACAUCCAAGGAAGGCAGCAGGCGCGCAAAUUACCCAUUCCCGACGCGGGGAGGUAGUGACGAAAAAUAACAAUGCAGGACUCGUUCGAGGCCCUGUAAUUGGAAUGAGUACACUUUAAAAGCUUUAACGAGUAUCCAUUGGAGGGCAAGUCUGGUGCCAGCAGCCGCGGUAAUUCCAGCUCCAAAAGUAUAUAUUUAAGUUGUUGCGGUUAAAAAGCUCGUAGUUGGAUUUUGGGCGCAGGCGGCCGGUCCGUCGCAAGGCGUGUACUGGACGUCCUGGCCUUCCCUCCGGUUCUCCGCCGGUGCUCUUGACUGAGUGUCGGCGGCGGCCGGAACGUUUACUUUGAAAAAAUUAGAGUGUUCAAAGCAGGCUCUCGAGCCUGGAUAAUGGUGCAUGGAAUAAUGGAAUAGGACCUCGGUUCUAUUUUGUUGGUUUUCGGAGCGCGAGGUAAUGAUUAAGAGGGACAGACGGGGGCAUUCGUACUGUGCCGUUAGAGGUGAAAUUCUUGGAUCGGCGCAAGACGAACGACUGCGAAAGCAUUUGCCAAGAAUGUUUUCUUUAAUCAAGAGCGAAAGUCAGAGGU